AGAGCUUGCUCUGUGGAUCAGUGGCGAACGGGUGAGUAACACGUGAGCAACCUGCCCCUGACUCUGGGAUAAGCGCUGGAAACGGCGUCUAAUACCGGAUAUGAGCUGCGAUCGCAUGGUCAGCAGUUGGAAAGAUUUUUCGGUCUGGGAUGGGCUCACGGCCUAUCAGCUUGUUGGUGAGGUAAUGGCUCACCAAGGCGUCGACGGGUAGCCGGCCUGAGAGGGUGACCGGCCACACUGGGACUGAGACACGGCCCAGACUCCUACGGGAGGCAGCAGUGGGGAAUAUUGCACAAUGGGCGAAAGCCUGAUGCAGCAACGCCGCGUGAGGGAUGACGGCCUUCGGGUUGUAAACCUCUUUUAGCAGGGAAGAAGCGAAAGUGACGGUACCUGCAGAAAAAGCGCCGGCUAACUACGUGCCAGCAGCCGCGGUAAUACGUAGGGCGCAAGCGUUAUCCGGAAUUAUUGGGCGUAAAGAGCUCGUAGGCGGUUUGUCGCGUCUGCUGUGAAAUCCCGAGGCUCAACCUCGGGUCUGCAGUGGGUACGGGCAGACUAGAGUGCGGUAGGGGAGAUUGGAAUUCCUGGUGUAGCGGUGGAAUGCGCAGAUAUCAGGAGGAACACCGAUGGCGAAGGCAGAUCUCUGGGCCGUUACUGACGCUGAGGAGCGAAAGGGUGGGGAGCAAACAGGCUUAGAUACCCUGGUAGUCCACCCCGUAAACGUUGGGAACUAGUUGUGAGGGUACCAUUCC
rnacentral:rRNA from 1 species